UACGGGGGGGGCAAGCGUUGUUCGGAAUUACUGGGCGUAAAGGGCUCGUAGGCGGCCAACUAAGUCAGACGUGAAAUCCCCAGGCUCAACCUGGGAACUGCGUCUGAUACUGGAUGGCUUGAAUCCGGGAGAGGGAUGCAGAAUUCCAGGUGUAGCGGUGAAAUGCGUAGAUAUCAGGAGGAACACCGGUGGCGAAGGCGGGAUCCUGGGCCAGUACUGACGCUGAGGAGCGAAAGCGUGGGGAGCAAACAGG
rnacentral:rRNA from 1 species